rnacentral:rRNA from 1 species
UACGGGGGGGGGUAAGCGUUGUUCGGAAUUACUGGGCGUAAAGGGCUCGUAGGCGGCCAACUAAGUCGGACGUGAAAUCCCUCAGCUUAACUGGGGAACUGCGUCCGAUACUGGAUGGCUUGGAUUCGGGAGAGGGAUGCGGAAUUCCAGGUGUAGCGGUGAAAUGCGUAGAUAUCUGGAGGAACACCGGUGGCGAAGGCGGCAUCCUGGACCGAUAUUGACGCUGAGGAGCGAAAGCCAGGGGAGCAAAGCGGG